CCCCUCUCAGGAUGGCACCUGGAGAGUUUCCAGUACUCUACCAGUCUAGGCUAUGGGAGGAAGAGUCAAGCAGAGGAAGAACCAUUCCAUUCCCAGUUUGGACAAUGGCUGGAGAGUGGGAGGCAAUGUGUUACAAGU